GACGAACGCUGGCGGCGUGCUUAACACAUGCAAGUCGAGCGGUAAGGCCCUUUCGGGGGGUACACGAGCGGCGAACGGGUGAGUAACACGUGGGUGACCUGCCCUCAGCUCUGGGAUAAGCCUGGGAAACCGGGUCUAAUACCGGAUAUGACUCCAUGACGCAUGUUGUGGGGUGGAAAGCCUUGUGCGGCUGAGGAUGGGCCCGCGGCCUAUCAGCUUGUUGGUGGGGUGAUGGCCUACCAAGGCGACGACGGGUAGCCGGCCUGAGAGGGCG
rnacentral:rRNA from 1 species